UGCGUAGGUGGUUUCUUAAGUCAGAGGUGAAAGGCUACGGCUCAACAGUAGUAAGCCUUUGAAACUGGGAAACUUGAGUGCAGGAGAGGAGAGUGGAAUUCCUAGUGUAGCGGUGAAAUGCGUAGAUAUUAGGAGGAACACCAGUUGCGAAGGCGGCUCUCUGGACUGUAACUGACACUGAGGCACGAAAGCGUGGGGAGCAAACA
rnacentral:rRNA from 1 species